AUACGAAAUAGAUAUGCAUGAUACCGCCGAUACCGCCGCGCUGAUUACUCGUUUGCUCGUGCGCAAUUUGUUUAAUUCAAUCCGUUGGUGGAAGUUGGUCGCGAUCGCGUGAAAAAAAUCGUUUGUAAGAACGGUAAAUUGUGAGAAGAAAUAUGGCAUCUACGGAGAAGGUGAGAAAUCCUCGGAGACAUCAACAGCAGAAUUGGUGGUUUUCAGAUGGAUCUAUGGCAAAAAAUCUAUGGACAUGCGGUGGCAGCGGUUUAUCUCUUUGAGCUCCAGAUCUUUCAAGUUUAAUUGACUACUUUGCGAUAGCAUCCUUCCGAUAUGAACGGUGACAGAAUAAAAUCCGCUAAUCACGUUCCGUUUUUAUCGCUAUUUUACAAUUUUCAAUGUAAAGCAUAUUAUAGAUGACUAAUUGUGUCUGUAUCAACACAUAUUAUGAGCUAAUAAACCUAAAUCUUUAUUAUUA